rnacentral:rRNA from 1 species
GCAGCAGCCGCGGUAAUGCGGAGGGGGCUAGCGUUGUUCGGAAUUACUGGGCGUAAAGCGCACGUAGGCGGCUUGGUAAGUUAGAGGUGAAAGCCCGGAGCUCAACUCCGGAAUUGCCUUUAAGACUGCCGAGCUAGUAGGUGAGAGAGGUAAGUGGAAUUCCGAGUGUAGAGGUGAAAUUCGUAGAUAUUCGGAAGAACACCAGUGGCGAAGGCGGCUUACUGGCUCAUUCUAGACGCUGAGGUGCGAAAGCGUGGGGAGCAAACAGGAUUAGAUACCCCCGUAGUCCCUGUCUCUUAUAC